AGUGAACGCUGGCGGUAGGCCUAACACAUGCAAGUCGAACGGCAGCACAGUAAGAGCUUGCUCUUACGGGUGGCGAGUGGCGGACGGGUGAGGAAUAGAUCGGAAUCUACUUUUUCGGGGGGGAUAACGUAGGGAAACUUACGCUAAUACCGCAUACGACCUACGGGUGAAAGCAGGGGAUCUUCGGACCUUGCGCGAUUGAAUGAGCCGAUGUCGGAUUAGCUAGUUGGCAGGGUAAAGGCCCACCAAGGCGACGAUCCGUAGCUGGUCUGAGAGGAUGAUCGGCCACACUGGAACUGAGACACGGUCCAGACUCCUACGGGAGGCAGCAGUAGGGAAUCUUGGACAAUGGGCGCAAGCCUGAUCCAGCCAUGCCGCGUGAGUGAAGAAGGCCUUCGGGUCGUAAAGCCCUUUUGUUGGGAAAGAAAAGCAGUGGGUUAAUACCUCGCUGUUCUGACGGUACCCAAUCAAUAAGCACCGGCUAACUUCGUG
rnacentral:rRNA from 1 species